CAGUAGCCACGGUAAAACGAAGGGUGCAAGCGUUACUCGGAAUUACUGGGCGUAAAGCGUGCGUAGGUGGUGGUUUAAGUCCGUUGUGAAAGCCCUGGGCUCAACCUGGGAAUUGCAGUGGAUACUGGAUCACUAGAGUGUGGUAGAGGAUAGUGGAAUUUCCGGUGUAGCAGUGAAAUGCGUAGAGAUCGGAAGGAACAUCUGUGGCGAAGGCGACUAUCUGGGCCAACACUGACACUGAGGCACGAAAGCGUGGGGAGCAAACAGGAUUAGAUACCCGAGUAGUCCCUGUCUCUUAUAC
rnacentral:rRNA from 1 species